rnacentral:rRNA from 1 species
CCUACGGGAGGCAGCAGUAGGGAAUCUUGCACAAUGGGCGAAAGCCUGAUGGAGCAACGCCGCGUGCAGGAUGAAGGCCUUCGGGUUGUAAACUGCUUUUAUAAGCGAGAAAUAUGAUGGUAACUUAUGAAUAAGGAUCGGCUAACUACGUGCCAGCAGCCGCGGUCAUACGUAGGAUCCGAGCAUUAUCCGGAGUGACUGGGUGUAAAGAGUUGCGUAGGUGGCUUAAUAAGUUGCUAGUGAAAUCUGGUGGCUCAACCAUUCAGACUAUUAGCUAAACUGUUAAGCUCGAGACCGUUAGGGGUAACUGGAAUUUCUAGUGUAGGAGUGAAAUCCGUAGAUAUUAGAAGGAACACCAAUAGCGUAGGCAGGUUGCUGGGACGGUUCUGACACUAAGGCACGAAAGCGUAGGGAGCAAACGGGAUUAGAUACCCUUGUAGUC